CCCUUAGAUGUUCUGGGCAGCACGCGCGCGACAAUGGUCUUCGCAAACGGAUGCAUUCUCGAAGGAGAAUGCCAAUCUUGGAAUCUAUGCCUUGGUCGGGACAGUUGCUUGCAAUUUUUCGACUCGAACCAGGAAUUCCUUGUAAUCGUGAUUCAUCACAUCACGAUGAAUACGUCCCUGCCCUUUGUACACACCGCCCGUCGCUCCUACCGAUCGAAGAGUUAGGUGAAUUGUUUUGAUCGAUAAGAUUUGACUAUGGUCAACUCUCGUUGUGAAAUUCUGUGAAUCUGACUGUUUAGAGGAAGGAAAAGUCGUAACA
rnacentral:rRNA from 1 species